AUCCCUUCGGCGACAUCCAAAAAAAUUGAAACGACGCAGAGAAGAUUAGCAUAGCCCUUGUUUGUGUAAGGAUGACACGGACAAAUCGAGUACUAAUAACCCUUUGU